rnacentral:rRNA from 1 species
CAAACAGGAUUAGAUAUCCUGCUAGUUCUCACAGUUAACGGUGAUCACUAGGUGUAGUCGGUAUUGACACAUGCUGUGCCGGAGCUAUUAGCAUUAAGUUAUCCGCCUGGGGAGUACAGCCGCAAGGUUAAAACUCAAAGGAAUUGACGGGGGCCCGCACAAGCGGUGGAGCAUUUAUUUUAAUUCAGACGCGAACGCGAAUUAACAUUACCUGGAAUUGACAUCUCGGGAAUCCCGAAGAAAUGGGUGAUGGCCUUCGGGGAGACUCAACACAGGGUGUUUGCAUGGCUGUGUUCAACUGGUUUCGUGAAAUUUUGGAUUAAGUCCCCCAAGGAGCGCAACCUCCAUCUUCAUUUCCCACCGAGUAAAGUGGGGGUUUUAGGAGAUCCUCCGGCGAUAAACGGGGAGAAAGGGGGGGAUGACUUCAAUUCCUCAUGCCCUUUAUGUCCAGGGCUACACACGUGCUACAAUGGUCUGUACAAAGGGAAGCGAUCUCGCGAGGGUGAGCCAAUCCCAAAAAGCCGUCCUCAGUUCGGAUUGGAGUCUGCAACUCGACUCCAUGAAG